rnacentral:rRNA from 1 species
ACGGAUAACAUACCGAAAGGUAUGCUAAUACGGGAUAAUAUAUUUGAGAGGCAUCUCUUAAAUAUCAAAGGUGAGCCAGUACAGGAUGGACCCGCGUCUGAUUAGCUAGUUGGUAAGGUAACGGCUUACCAAGGCGACGAUCAGUAGCCGACCUGAGAGGGUGAUCGGCCACAUUGGAACUGAGACACGGUCCAAACUCCUACGGGAGGCGGCAGUGGGGAAUAUUGCACAAUGGGCGAAAGCCUGAUGCAGCAACGCCGCGUGAGUGAUGAAGGCCUUCGGGUCGUAAAACUCUGUCCUCAAGGAAGAUAAUGACGGUACUUGAGGAGGAAGCCCCGGCUAACUACGUGCCAGCAGCCGCGGUAAUACGUAGGGGGCUAGCGUUAUCCGGAUUUACUGGGCGUAAAGGGUGCGUAGGCGGUCUUUCAAGUCAGGAGUGAAAGGCUACGGCUCAACCGUAGUAAGCUCUUGAAACUGGGAGACUUGAGUGCAGGAGAGGAGAGUGGAAUUCCUAGUGUAGCGGUGAAAUGCGUAGAUAUUAGGAGGAACACCAGUUGCGAAGGCGGCUCUCUGGACUGUAACUGACGCUGAGGCACGAAAGCGUGGGGAGCAAACAGGAUUAGAUACCCUGGUAGUCCACGCUGUAAACGAUGAGUACUAGGUGUCGGGGGUUACCCCCUUCGGUGCCGCAG